GUGCUUGCUUUGGUGGCACAUAUAGUAAAUAUGGAAUUAUAGAAGAUUAGCAGGGCCCCUUUGCAAAGAUGACAUGCAAACGCAUGAAGCAUUCCAUAGUUUG
ensembl:snRNA U6 U6 spliceosomal RNA